AAUCACAGUGAUGGCUGAUCAGGGCUCCCUGACCCAUGCAGACCUCUGGUGGGGGUGAUGGCCAGUCCUGGUGUCUGAGUGAUU
ensembl:snoRNA SNORD86 small nucleolar RNA, C/D box 86